rnacentral:rRNA from 1 species
AGAGUUUGAUCCUGGCUCAGGAUGAACGCUAGCGGCAGGCUUAAUACAUGCAAGUCGAGGGGCAGCAGGUUUGUAGCAAUACAGAUGCUGGCGACCGGCAAACGGGUGAGGAACACGUACGCAACUUUCCUUCAAGUGGGGGAUAGCCCAGGGAAACUUGGAUUAAUACCCCAUAAUAUUACGAAGCGGCAUCGUUUUGUAAUUAAAGCUCCGGCGCUUGAAGAUGGGCGUGCGCCUGAUUAGGUAGUUGGCGGGGUAACGGCCCACCAAGCCUACGAUCAGUAACUGGUGUGAGAGCACGACCAGUCACACGGGCACUGAGACACGGGCCCGACUCCUACGGGAGGCAGCAGUAAGGAAUAUUGGGCAAUGGACGAAAGUCUGACCCAGCCAUGCCGCGUGGAGGAUGAAGGUCCUCUGGAUUGUAAACUUCUUUUAUCUGGGAAGAAAUCUACGGUUUCCACUGUAGUUGACGGUACCAGAUGA